rnacentral:rRNA from 1 species
AUUGAACGCUGGCGGCAGGCCUAACACAUGCGAGUCGAGCGGAUGAAGGGAGCUUGCUCCUGGAUUCAGCGGCGGACGGGUGAGUAAUGCCUAGGAAUCUGCCUGGUAGUGGGGGAUAACGUCCGGAAACGGGCGCUAAUACCACAUACGUCCUGAGGGAGAAAGUGGGGGAUCUUCGGACCUCACGCUAUCAGAUGAGCCUAGGUCGGAUUAGCUAGUUGGUGGGGUAAAGGCCUACCAAGGCGACGAUCCGUAACUGGUCUGAGAGGAUGAUCAGUCACACUGGAACUGAGACACGGUCCAGACUCCUACGGGAGGCAGCAGUGGGGAAUAUUGGACAAUGGGCGAAAGCCUGAUCCAGCCAUGCCGCGUGUGUGAAGAAGGUCUUCGGAUUGUAAAGCACUUUAAGUUGGGAGGAAGGGCAGUAAGUUAAUACCUUGCUGUUUUGACGUUACCAACAGAAUAAGCACCGGCUAACUUCGUG